GACGAACGCUGGCGGCGUGCCUAAUACAUGCAAGUUGAGCGAUGAAGAUUGGUGCCUGCACCAAUUUGAAGAGCAGCGAACGGGUGAGUAACGCGUGGGGAAUCUGCCUUUGAGCGGGGGACAACAUUUGGAAACGAAUGCUAAUACCGCAUAACAACUUUAAACAUAAGUUUUAAGUUUGAAAGAUGCAAUUGCAUCACUCAAAGAUGAUCCCGCGUUGUAUUAGCUAGUUGGUGAGGUAAAGGCUCACCAAGGCGAUGAUACAUAGCCGACCUGAGAGGGUGAUCGGCCACAUUGGGACUGGGACACGGCCCAAACUCCUACGGGAGGCAGCAGUAGGGAAUCUUCGGCAAUGGACGAAAGUCUGACCGAGCAACGCCGCGUGAGUGAAGAAGGUUUUCAGAUCGUAAAACUCUGUUGGUAGAGAAGAACGUUGGUGAGAGUGGAAAGCUCAUCAAGUGACGGUAACUACCCAGAAAGGGACGGCUAACUACGUG
rnacentral:rRNA from 1 species